rnacentral:rRNA from 1 species
UACGUAGGGCGCAAGCGUUAUCCGGAAUUAUUGGGCGUAAAGAGCUCGUAGGCGGUUUGUCGCGUCUGCCGUGAAGGUCCGGGGCUCAACUCCGGAUCUGCGGUGGGUACGGGCAGACUAGAGUGAUGUAGGGGAGACUGGAAUUCCUGGUUUAGCGGUGAAAUGCGCAGAUAUCAGGAGGAACACCGAUGGCGAAGGCAGGUCUCUGGGCAUUAACUGACGCUGAGGAGCGAAAGCAUGGGGAGCGAACAGG